rnacentral:rRNA from 1 species
CGAACGAGAACGGCUCUUAGCUUGCUAAGAGUGUCAGCUAAGUGGCGCACGGGUGAGUAAUGUAUAGCUAACGUGCCCCUUGGAGGGGGAUAACGGCUGGAAACGGCCGCUAAUACCCCAUACUCCUUCACGAGUAAUGUCGUGUCGGGAAAUGGAUUACCGCCAAGGGAUCGGGCUAUAUCGUAUCAGCUGGUUGGUGAGGUAAAGGCUCACCAAGGCGAUGACGCGUAGCGGGUCUGAGAGGAUGAUCCGCCACACUGGAACUGAGACACGGUCCAGACUCCUACGGGAGGCAGCAGUGGGGAAUAUUGGGCAAUGGGCGCAAGCCUGACCCAGCAACGCCGCGUGGAGGAUGACGCCCUUCGGGGUGUAAACUCCUUUUAUCAGGGAAGAUGAUGACGGUACCUGAUGAAUAAGCACCGGCUAACUCCGUGCCAGCAGCCGCGGUAAUACGGAGGGUGCAAGCGUUCUCGGAAUCACUGGGCGUAAAGC